rnacentral:rRNA from 1 species
AUACGGAGGGGGCUAGCGUUGUUCGGAAUUACUGGGCGUAAAGCGCACGUAGGCGGCUUUGUAAGUCAGAGGUGAAAGCCUGGAGCUCAACUCCAGAACUGCCUUUGAGACUGCAUCGCUUGAAUCCAGGAGAGGUCAGUGGAAUUCCGAGUGUAGAGGUGAAAUUCGUAGAUAUUCGGAAGAACACCAGUGGCGAAGGCGGCUGACUGGACUGGUAUUGACGCUGAGGUGCGAAAGCGUGGGGAGCAAACAGGAUUAGAUACCCGUGUAGUCC